rnacentral:rRNA from 1 species
UACGUAGGGUGCAGGCGUUAAUCGGAAUUACUGGGCGUAAAGCGUGCGCAGGCGGUUUCUUAAGUCAGAUGUGAAAUCCCCGGGCUUAACCUGGGAACUGCAUUGGUGACUGGCAGGCUUUGAGUGUGGCAGAGGGAGGUAGAAUUCCACGUGUAGCAGUGAAAUGCGUAGAGAUGUGGAGGAAUACCGAUGGCGAAGGCAGCCUCCUGGGCCAACACUGACGCUCAUGCACGAAAGCGUGGGGAGCAAACAGG